GCCCCUGUAGCUCAGCUGGAUAGAGCAGCGGACUUCUAAUCCGCAGGUCCCUGGUUCGAAUCCAGGCGGGGGUG
rnacentral:tRNA from 1 species